UUUAGUCCAUUAUUAUUAUUUUGAGAAGCAUGAGUGUGUGCAGGCAGACAUGGUGCUGAAGAUAGAGUUGAAUGUUCUACAUAGUGAUCCACAGGCAGCAGUAGGAGACUAAAGGAAGCCUCUAAAGGAAGCCUGAACAUAGGAAACUUCAACGCCCACCCCACUACACAGUGACACACUUCUUCCAACAAGGCUUCAACUAUUCCAACAAGCUCAUACACCCUAAUAAUAGCACUCCCUGUGGGUCAUACAUUCAGACACAAGUCUAUGGGGACCAAAGUUAUUCAAACCACAAGGCUCAUCCCUAUACUAAAGUGAGUAUCUCUAACAGGCAGCUCAAGGGGCUGCAUAGGGUCACAACUAUUGCUAAGCCCUACCAUGCCACAAAGUCCUUAGUUCUUUCUUUGAGAAAACAUAAUAUUGUCAGGUAGACAAGAUGACCCUGAGUAGCAACCAUUUGGGAAAAAGAACAACACUGAUGUACUUGAAAAUUCUGGCAAUAUCUUUGCUAUAUAAGUCUCCCAUCUGCCUAUGCAACCAGACUUGCUGUCUCCUGUCUGUUUAAGUUACUCAAAGUGUGACCUGGGACUGGGACCUGAAAGAAACCUAAGAAUGACAGCAUAUGUAAAAUGCAUAUGACUAAAGUAUACAUAAGUUAGUAAGUCAUGUAUUCAAGGUUACCUCCUUUCUGGGCACUAGCCACAAUGUGACACAUGCUUUUUCUAUUAAGAGCUGUGUCUUAAUUUUCCUGAAUACAUGGAAUGAUUUUUUCAUCGUGGGAAGCACUAUUUCUGCAGUAAUCAGAGAGUUAAUAUUACUGCCAGGGCACUUAAUGUGGCUGAUUAGUAAAUCUCGUUAAUUUAUCAACAUAUGAUACAGAUUUACUGCUUUCAUCUGAAAGGCCCAUGAAGGUGACAGAAUCAAACAUUUAACAAUUUAAUGGAGGUGUAUGAAGGUAUGGGGAAAAUGAGAGAACUACCAGAAACUUAGGAAGAGAAGAUGAAAUGUCACCAUUGACUCCCAUAGAAAAAAAUCUUAUAUUUUGGAUUUUUAAAUAUAUGAUUUUUACCGUCACCUGGCAGUCAGACAGUGUAGAAAUCACAACUGGGAGCUGGGAGGGCAAGGCAGACAAAUGAUGCAGGAGGCAGAUAUGGGAGGACUGCUGGUUAGUCUCAUGCCAGUGAGCAAGUGUAUUUUCUCAGUGUCGUUUAAAGGCAAGCAACACAAAGCGUGACCAAUUCCAGAAAGAUAAACAAUGACCACAAGUGCUUCUGUGGUGAGUUUGUGGUAAACAGUAUCUGUGUAUGACUAAGGCCAUUUCCUUCAGGCUUGGAUAGUCUCUCAAGGACAUAUGUAUAAGCAGAAGAACCUGGCAGGGUAUAAUGCACGUCUUAAUUAAAAACAAAGAUAGCUGUUAGCUGAUGCAUUCAUGAUUAAUCACAAGCAAAAAGCCAGACAAAGUUAACUUUGGAUGUGCUCCCCACAUGUUCCACUGUUUUCUCUAUGCAAGCCAAAAUUGUCUCAACUAUUAGAGCAGAAAGACUGUGCUAUCUUAGGCAUUCCCUCAAGAAGUAUGGACCUUACCUGUCACUGGUACAUGAAUCCUAACAUUCAUGUCCUGUCUUAGGUUGAUUUACCUCUGAGAGAAUCUUACCCCCCCCCUUUUAUCUAUAAGAGGAACUUUAUCAGUCAUGAAGCAGAAAGUUGUGCCUGUUUUAGGUUGCAAUCAAAAACACAUCUUUCACCCAUCAUUGACACUCAAAUAAUCUUAUAUUUGUGGCCUGUCUUAGGUUGAGAAGGCUUUCAAGACAAUCUCACCUGCCAUUGACUACCAACUUCUACUAGAGAAGAUGUUGGAGCAUAAACUUAGGAGACUCUGCUUUGACAUCUGUAAAAGCUCAGAUGAUUCCUCUCAAAAGAACAGGUGGUUCCCAACCUCCACUGACUGCCCUGCAGGCCGGGGCAAACUGGCACCCAGACAUGAGGCUUUUGGAAGUCACAGAGGAGAGAAUGCCGCUCACCAGGGAAGGAUAGGCCUCUCCGUUUAUCACAAAAGCACCAGAGAGUGACUUCAGCAUGAAGACACCCACAGUACCCGCGUGAGACAGCCUGGGAGAUUGCAGAGCUGGUGCAGAUCUUACGAAGUUCAGGCAACAGAGCAGAGGAUUUAUGUGAAGUGGAGUCUUUUGGGACAUGGCAUUGUCAUUGCCCCAUGAAAUUACUGUGUCUAUCCUACUUGCACAAGAUCAACAGGCAACAACAGGAGAUGACCUGAAGGGGGAAGAGAAGCAGGUAAGAGGGAGGGAGCUGGGAGUGUACAUGAUCAAGAUGCAUUUAUCCUGGAUGAAAUUGUCAGAAUCAAUAGAAGAUACUCUAGUUUUAAAGUAGAAUUUAAUUUAAAUUAAGAAUUGCAAUUAAGAAGUGGAAAAAGGGUCAAGAGUGAUGGUCACACCUUUAAUCCCAGCACUGGGGAGGCAGAAGAAGGUGGAUUUUUGUGAGUUAGAGUCCAGUGUGCUCUACAUAGUGAAUUCCAGGACAGUCAGGGAUGUUGCACAGAGAACUGUCUGGAAUACCUCCUGAUUCCUCUAAAAAAGUAAUGGGCAAAGAACCUGGAUAUACAUACAAUGACCAGCUUAAAAUUUCUGACAUCAUUGCCAAGUAGAUAUAAAUCUAGACCCAAAUUAAAUAUCAAAUCAUACCAGUUAGAAUGGCUGUUAGACCAGAUGAGGGCAUAGUUCAGUGAUAAAUAUUUUCCUGGAAUGAAUGAGGUUCGCAGAUUGACCCUAGCAUUACAAUAACCAAGACAUGCAAACAACAAAACAUUUGUUGGAAAUGAUGUAAGUUUCCUUGUACUUUGUCUCUUGGAAUGAAAAUUAAUAGGAUAUUUGUGGAAAAUAGUAGAAGAAUUGUUUUAAAAAGUAAGAAAACUUUAAGAUCAUCACAAACAACAAACGAACAAACAAGACAAAAACCACAGCCAAUCAAAAUGCCGAGUUGUGGAGCUCAAUCCCAUUGACUAUAUCCACAAAACAGCUCCUGCAUCUAAAGUUCAGAAAGCACUGGGGAAGAGACGGCAGAAAGAUUAUAAAGGACAGAGGAUAUUCUCCAAGUUGUAAUUGUAUUAUUACCAGUGGACCACUAGCUACUUUAACAAUCUGUCAGUUUGCUUGCUUGCUUGUUUGUCCCCAAGAUUUUUAGAAAACCUUCUCUCUGUAAAUUUUAUCAGCCUCUUUACAAUACACUUAGAACUGAUACAUGAGAACUGAUACAUUAGCAGUUCUCCAUCUAUUUUUCUUUAUUUACUUGUUAUUGAACCCAGUGCUCUAAUGUAAAGAUGAAGGUUAGGGUCAAAAGGAAUAUUGGGUUUAGAAAGGAGAAGAGUUCAUAUUUGAGAAUGGGUAAUCAUACCAGCUGACUAGGUACAAAGAAGAACAGGGCUUGGAGCCAGGGUUGGAAGGAUGGCUGGCUCCCCUGAACUCCAACCCUGAGGAACAUAGGCGAAGCACUGUCCUCUUUCCAUGUAUUCUUGCUUCUACAGUAUCUACCUAUAACAGACCAAAUUGUUUAAAAAAAAAAACAAAGAAGACAUUUCUAAACAUCCUCCACCUAGUUCAGUGGCAGACUACCCCAGACUGCCCUACAGUCACAGUUAAAUACAAGGGUAACAGAGAACAGCCAGCUGCACCUGACAGGGAUGAGAGUAGUUAACUCCAUGGUAAAACUACAAAUGAGGGCACACUUUAAUUAGCAUCCAUCAAUAUCUACAUCUCCAAGGUCCACAGUAGCAACACUAACCAGGUUAGCAUAUGGUCAAGGCAGACAGCUAUUGAGAAAUGAGCAGGGGUUUCAAAGUCUGACCUCUUCCCCAACUUUCAUGAGCACUUUCUGCUAGAAUUGUAGGUGAACGAGCUUUUGCCUUUCCACGAGGUCAGAACUUAGUGGAAAAUAAUAAAUUCACAAAGUUUAACAGAUGUAAUGACAGCAUUUUUUCAUAAAAUACACCUACCUUGGUGACCUGAGGGAAAGCAAGUUCUUUCAUUCCAAUUCUAUUUACUAAUAUCAACAUUCAUAGCACACAGCACAGGGCAAGUCGUAUCUAUCUAUGGGUUACAGACUGGAUAUUUGUGAAAGUAAUUAUAGCAGAGUUCAAGAGGCUGCAGAUGUGGCUUGAGAAAUAGCCUGUCUAAGAGAUAAGAUAAGUAAUCGGACCAGUGCUACCAGGGAGCUGCUUGUGACAGCCUUGAGAACAAGGCUACAGAAUUCAAGGUGAAGAGGUCAAGCUGGGUCCAGAGCAGUAAACAGGUCAGGUCCAUGUUCAGAUGAGAGAGCAGGUAGAUGAUAGGCAGCUGAAUAGGCUAUGUCAAGCGUGUAUGACCAAGCUAGACUGAGGAGCUACUUCACACACACACACACACACACACACACACACACACACACACACACACACACACACCAGAUAUCAGAUGAUAAUUUGGUGUGAGGGUAUACUGUCAUAGUGUCUAGGUAGGUAUACCUUGAUUUUGAUAAAUUCUUUGGGUCUGGUUUUCUCUGAUAAAAUUUUAAUAUAUCCAUGUGCAUGUUGUCUCCCCAAUAAACUUAUAGGGUGGCUCCCUUUAUUCCCCUAAGAAUAAGGCUUUUAUCAGCUUGUGCUAGGUGAAGUGGUGAUGCAGUUUCUGGGUCCACCAAGGGUUGCUGUUUUUCUUCUCCCUCAGAAUGGAGUUGAAGCUGCUUGUAAAAUGCAGUCUCCUAGUACAAGGCACAGAAAUGGAAACGUAGUUUCUGUGGAAAGUCACCUAUGUCAAAUGAUGUUUUGCUGGGGCACACAGGUGAAAGGAUAUUUUGAUAUGACAAACAUGUGAGAGGACCCUUGAUGAAGGAGUAUACUAAAAAAGACCCCACAGAUAGUGAGAGACAAGCGGAGAGCAUUGGGCUGGUUUUCUCUGCCUGCUACUCUUUGCUAACUACACACGUGUGUUGGUUCACCUUACACAGUCUUGUUGAGCUCCACCAGUUGGGAUGUCAGAGAGAAACUCACCAAAGAACUGCUUGUGAGGUUCCUGUGGCAGAUUACUGCUUCUACAGCCUUCACUCAGGCCAGUUGGCAAGUCUUGUGGUUUCUUUUCUUUUCUUUUCUUUUCUCUUCCUUUCUUUUCU
rnacentral:sRNA from 1 species